GACGAACGCUGGCGGCGUGCUUAACACAUGCAAGUCGAACGGAAAGGCCUCUUUCGGGGGGUACUCGAGUGGCGAACGGGUGAGUAACACGUGAGUAACCUGCCCUUGACUUUGGGAUAACUUCAGGAAACUGGGGCUAAUACCGGAUAGGAGCUCCUGCUGCAUGGUGGGGGUUGGAGAGUUUCGGCGGUUGGGGAUGGAUUCGCGGCUUAUCAGCUUGUUGGUGGGGUAUUGGCUUACCAAGGCUUUGACGGGUAGCCGGCCUGAGAGGGUGACCGGCAACAGUGGGACUGAGAUACGGACAAGACUCAUACGGGAGGCAGCAGUGGGGAAGAGUGCACAAUGGGUGGAAGCGAGAUGCAGCAACACCGUGUGCGGGAUGACGGUCUUCGGGUUGUAAACCGAUUUCGCUCAUGACGGAGCUUUGUGUGACGGUAGUGGGUAAAGAAGCACCGGCUAACUACGUG
rnacentral:rRNA from 1 species